AGAAGAAGAAGAAGAAGAAGAUGAGGAUGGAGUUCAUGUGAAUAAAGAGACCGGCGAGAUCGGCGGGCCCAGAGGACCCGAGCCAACUCGAUACGGCGAUUGGGAGCGAAACGGUCGCUGCUCUGAUUUUUGAGUCUGUUUGAGAUGAGAGUUGUUCCUUGUCUACCUUUUGUUUGAUAUUAUGAAAUGAUAAAUUAGGGUUUUAUGAUGAGAAAGAAAUAAUUAUUUGUGGGUUUUUCAUUUGAUUUGCAUUGAAUUAUGAAUCAACAACAUUAUUAUCCACCAUUUUCAUCUGUGUCCCUUAUCAUGGCUCCCAAUAACGAAUAUGGAAAAUAAAUUCUUCUUCAUAUUAUUUAUGAUGAGGUGUGUGAUUCAUGAAGUGAAUCAUGAGCAUUUCGGAUGCCAAACAUCAUCCUAAUCCCACCAUUGCGAUUGUUCGAAUUCAUUGUUAUCAUUGAUUACCAUAGAAUCUAUAAUUAUUUUAGCCUGAUUUGAUCAGUCGAAUUGUAAAAUCUGU
rnacentral:misc_RNA from 1 species